rnacentral:rRNA from 1 species
GACGAACGCUGGCGGCGUGCUUAACACAUGCAAGUCGAACGGAAAGGCCCUGCUUUUGUGGGGUGCUCGAGUGGCGAACGGGUGAGUAACACGUGAGUAACCUGCCCUUGACUUUGGGAUAACUUCAGGAAACUGGGGCUAAUACCGGAUAGGAGCUCCGGCUGCAUGGUGGGGGUUGGAAAGUUUCGGCGGUUGGGGAUGGACUCGCGGCUUAUCAGCUUGUUGGUGGGGUAGUGGCUUACCAAGGCUUUGACGGGUAGCCGGCCUGAGGGGGUGACCGGCCACAUUGGGACUGAGAUACGGCCCAGACUCCUACGGGAGGCAGCAGUGGGGAAUAUUGCACAAUGGGCGGAAGCCUGAUGCAGCAACGCCGCGUGCGGGAUGACGGCCUUCGGGUUGUAAACCGCUUUCGCCUGUGACGAAGCGUGAGUGACGGUAAUGGGUAAAGAAGCACCGGCUAACUACGUG